UUCGCUGCGCUGAACUGCACCCUUGUUUAUGAAGAGUUGUCGUUCCUUGCUCUCACAUACAAUGAAAUGUAACCGUCGUGCAAGAGAUUGAUGGAGUGCCAGAGCCGCCAUAGCAAACGAGAGCGCCGAUGGCGCUGAAAGCAUAGUUGCAAGAUACAGGGAAGAUGCUGCUGAAGUAAAUGUUUAGGUCAAAAUAUACUAAAUAGUUUCCUUAUAUGUUUCGAUGUAAAAGCGACAACUUUGAGCGAAAAUAAAUACAACAUUUUGCACAUAGAGACCCCCAUAACCAUACCUUUUCUUGACGGGCAUUCUUAGCUGAAUCGAUUUAAGCAAUAAAAAAGAUUUGUCAUGUUCAAACCAAAAACAAAUUCGACUCAAAUCAAAAUCGACUGUUUUUGCGCCUUUUUCGGCCGUUUUCUAGUGGAUUGUAACCUUUUGCAGUGCCAUUUUUUACUUUAAUCUCCAACUUUAUCCUAUUUCAGGGAUUAAGUAGUGAACACCUAUGCUUACCCUAUCAAUAUCUCCAAACGAUAAAACCAGAACAAAGUGUACAACAUGCCUUCGAGGAAAAUAUGAUGAUUUGUUUAGAAAGUACAGCCCUUCAUGACUCGAUUAUUUAGUAUAUUGUAGCCUUAACGAUUGCUGACAUCACGAGUCGCCCCCCUUGUUAACAAAAUGCUCUAUUUUUAGAAACGGGAAUUCCAAAUAGUGACGAAUGUGAAUGGUUACAAAAUGACAUAACUAUGAAAAUAAAUACGUAGAAUUACAUUAUUUCAGGCAUACCAUUAUGCAACCAUCCGUUUUCUUUUCCGACUUGAUGCAUUUACAGCUUUCCAUUUAAUAGUUUACAGACACAGCACUCGUCCAGAAUUCACGCGAAUCCAAUAAAUCCGAUGCCACAUUUAAACCGUUAACUCUACUCGUAACGUAAAUUUCUGGCUCAAAGUAAAUCAUUUUAACUUCAAUUAACACAUCUCUUACUUUUAAACUCUACUUCAUCAAAUCCAUAGAAAGGCACGUCAGAAUCCAUGUCAUAAAUCAGAAAACAUUCAUCGUACUCCGCCAUUUUUUACACAUUUUCAAAGAAUAAAAGUGCUUUAUGCCCCACUUCCUGCUGAGAAUAUGUUUUAAUUUCUAUUUAUAAUUAACCGAUGAAAUGUUACAUAUACUUUAACCAGGGCCUUAUUAAUUCAGUUAUGUAAACAUUUGACCUCUCACAGAACAGUAAACGAAGGAAAUAGAAAUUGGGAUCCCAUAUAAAUUAGGUGUGAGGUCACUAUCAACAAGAACAGAAUUGUUUUACGAACGAAAUUUGUUUUAGGUUAUAAGAAGAUUUUUUGACAUAAAACCGUCUUAGAAAAAUUCACUAAAAACGGUGUCAGCAAUAUUCUUGGAAGAAAACGUUAGAAAAACGUUUCCCCCCAAAAAAUUGUAAGAAUUACCAUAUGCUAAAUUAAAUAGAUAUUUCGUCUGAUUUUUGAUCAGGUAAGGCUUCAUAAAGGGUAACCGACCGAUGUGGAUUUUCAAAAUGUGGUAUAUACCUUAAGCAUAGGUGCAAGCACCUAUGCUAAAAAUCCGUUUAUAUGGACUUUAAAUUUCACAUGCCUCCCAGGAAGGCAUAGAUGCAUGGUAACGAAAUUAAAAUAGGACAUUUUAACGAAUGGUUUAUUCAAGAAAGGGCAAACAAACGCAAAACCCAAAUUUGAAGAAAUAAAUUCAUUCGAUGAUUCUGAUGAAGGGAACGAUGCAGGUCAAGGUGAGCUAAAUAGCGAUGAUGAGGCCCCGGAUGAUGUUGGUUUCCAUGACAGCAAGAUGUCGGUCUUGGCGGAGCUGCGGUCUGCCAUGAGGCAGGUGGAUAGGGGGAAGUCUGUGAAGAAAGAACAGCGGAGGAAACUGGACGCACAGUUCAAGGCAAAAAGGCAAAAAAACUGGAAGAACUUUCAAGUAAGAAAUUGCCAGAUGAUUUCAUGGCAACUUUGGAUGAGGCAGUUAUAUCAAAACCCAAAGUAAAAAAAGGAGAAAAAAGGAAAAAUAAUAAACAGCAAAAACAAGACAGAAAGGAACCCGAUGUUGCUGCACCAAGUCCAGUGAAGAACUCUAGAGUCACUUUCACAGAGGACUUCAUCUCUCUGACUGACCGCGUCAGUGGUGUAGAAGUGGCAGAACUCAAGAAGCCUGAAACAGACAGUCGCACACUGAGUCAGGCUGCUGCAGCAUUCCGUCAGAGCAGACUGUAUGGUUCUCACAUACCCAGAGAGUCAAAUAAGGAUAGACUUGGGAAAGCAGAGAAGAGAAAGUUCAAUAGAAAAUGAAGAUACUGCAGAGCUACCAAACUUGGGCCUUGUGGUGAUGGAGUUUGAGUCGAGUUCUGGGAAAACUGGGCUUAAUGCAUGUGCAUAAAGUCAGGGCUAUAGAUGACUUUGGGGGGAUCUUGGGUAAUUCACACCCUGUUUUUGACAACAAUAGAGUUUUUGUAAAUUCAAUAGUUUUAGCAAAAAUGUUCACCCCCUACUUUUGAGCUUAAUUGGGUUUUUCAACCCCGUUUUUUUUAAACUCAAUUGGAUAAUUUAGGGAAUGACAUAUUUGAUAUAAUAAAAAUCUACAAAGGUUACUAUAUUAUUUAUACAAAUGGAAUUCAAAAAGGUAUGUGUACACAACAACAAACAAUUACUGAAUUUCUUAUCAAAGUUCAUUUAUUUUUGCAUUGAAUAAGACCAAGUUGUUGAAAAUCGCUGCACAAUUGAUGAAGUUAUGGCUGUUCAAAGCGAUGCACCCCGUUUUCGGGUCAUUUUGAGUUGAAUAACUUGAAAAUAAAAGUACAGAUCGGACGGGUCAACAAAUAAUUACAAUAAUGCCCCAAAGACUGAUAACCGCUGGAAAGACUGCCUUCUUUUCUUCAUAGGACGGCAUAUAAACUAUCCGGUACACUUUUGUACGGAAAAUGACCAGUCUAAAAAAUACGUCCAGUGUUCGUAAGAAUUGCGUUUUGUGACGCAUGUUUUUUUACGGGAAUUACGUUAUUAAAUGUGUAUUUGUGUUUUUCUAUGCUUUAUUUUGAAUUUAAUAACGUUUUUUGUUAUUUUAAUUGCGUAAUAACGCAAAUACGCUUGUUAUAUAUAGCCCUGAUAAAGUGUACCAGAUUAGACUGUUCACAGGCUAAUCAGGGACGACACUUUCUGUAUAUUCUGGAUUUUAGUUUAGGAGACAUCCUUUCAACAAAACCAUCCAUGCAAGCUUGCUAAGCUGUGAAUACUGCAAAGUCUAAUGUACGAUGACACUUUACUCACAUGCAUUUAGCCCCGUUUUCCCAGAGCAAGGCUUGUUUGGACAGCAGACAACUGCAAGGGUUCCAGAAACAUGUGCUCCAACUAGUUCCCAGAAUAUCCCUCAGUGCAAGAACUGUUGAAGUUAUGAGAUAGAAGUUGGAAAGUACUUGAGCAGUUGUUUAUUAUUUGAAGGUUGAAGUUAUGAGUUAGAAGUUGCAAAGUACUUGAGCAGUUGUUUAUUAUUUGAAGCAGCAAACUGUUGGAACUCAUCUGAAAUUUUGAUAAUUAAAGAUAAUGGCCAAUAUUAGUUGAACAAUUAACAAAUAUAUGCUAAGAUUAUGGUGAAUAUGUAUAAACAUACAUUUUGAAUGUAUAAUUGUACUUACAUUUACAAUUAAUAACUAUACUGGUAUGUCACUCAUCAAAAUAAGCAGUAAGACUAGGCUUGCCCAUUUUCUGAUAUUAUUAUGUACUUUGAACCUACAAAAUGUUAGACGUUGAUAUGAACCGAAGAUUCUGGGCAAACCUGAUGCCAAGUAUACACAUGCAUUGCUUGCAGACUCAUGCAGUGCUUAUUUUGAUCACUGAUUAAAUUGUAUACCUUCUCAAGAAUUUUGUUAAAAAAUUGUGCAACACUUUUUUAACAGUUUGUAAAAGAAAGUGACAGUAUAUCAAGUUAUAACUAUGUAGAGUUUAUAACAUAACAUAACAUAAAUUUAUUCUGGCAUAAAAUAGCACAAUGCAUACUUAUAGCCAACAAUACAAUUAUAGCGUGAAAAGUGAUAGGAACAUGAAAUAUUAUAAACAUUAAUCUGAGAAAGAUUAACAGAGAUGUAAGUGCCGUGCAAAUAGAAUGUGCAUGGUAAAUAUUAUAUUUAUUCACAACAAUAACAACAACAUUUAUUUGAUAGUAGGUCACUUUGAACUUCAAGUAGAGUUUAUGCGUUAUUAAGUACUGUGGAAUAAUGAGAUGAAAGUGUAUGAAAUGUGCUUUACAUGAAUUACAUUUCUUUAAUUCAUAGGAAGUAUAAUUCGUCUGUAAAAAAUUGAUAAUAUAAUGAAUAACCUCAAAAAUAUAUGUUCAAAAAUAAUAUUUAUUGUAAGUUUAUUGAAAUUGUGUGUGUAUUUUCUGUUUCUGUAAUGGGAGAACAUAAUCAAUGGAUAUUCUUGUUAAGAUUUAUUAAAAUUUCCUUUAAAUCUAUUUAGUAGAAUACAUGAAUAUUUGAAUUAAGGUUUUUACGUGAUUUUACUCCUUUGAAUAACUUCAAAUUUUUGUUAAUUUAAAUUUGUAUUGUUUUCAUUUUUUUGCAAAUCAGUAGAAAGUUUAUGAUUCUUAUUUUCAAUAAGUAUAAUUGAUAGCCUAUGUAAAGUAUUUAUGGUGUAUUUAAUAUCAUUUUUCAGAAAUUUAGCCAGAUAAAAUAUCUGUCUUUUGUUCUAAUUUGACUGUCAAUAAACACGUUGUUCACACUUUCUAAAUGUUUUAAAAUAAUAUAAUUAGAUAUGUCUUUAAUUUUGCCUUGAUGGUUUUAAUUAAAGUGUGUUUGGUACUUUGAAGUAACAAACUGUGGAGAAGGUAUGUUAAGUGGUGAUAAUAAAAGACACUUUACACUCGCUCUAUUGAUGUUGAGCUGAUUCUAAGUAUAAAUAUCGUAGAUUUAUCAAAUCAUAUUUAUAGUCUAUUGCAUGUUACUGCAUAGUGUGUGUAAACUGUUAAAUUUGUGCAAUAAGUAGGUUGUGUUCAUUGAUUUACACAUAGAUUACAAACCGGUGUUUGGAUAAUUGGAAUUACCACAGAAAUGGUAAGGUAUUUUUCCAGUACUUGCUAUUUUUUUAUCCUAUAUGUUAGUGUUUGUUGGUGAAUUUGGGAGCAAAUGUCUGGAAAGCGACACAAUUUGCAAAUAUUUAAUUAUAGAUGUUUCAUUGUCCGUAGGUGAUUUGGAGAUUUCUUCUCACCCGCACCCCUUAAAGGAGGUUAUUCUUACUCCCCCUUGCCCAUGUUUUGUGAUUUUAUUUUGUUACUCACUUUAUAGCUGCUAUUGAAACAUUUCUCGACAAGUGACCGUUUAAACCCAGAUAAAGUGGUGUUCUGCCAACCAAACAUCGAUUAACUUAUAGUUUAUUAAUAGAUCUUUGCGGUGUGCGGUAAAAAUGCCAGAAGUAAAAAUGCCAGAGGUAAAAAUACCAGAUGUAAAAAUGCCAGAGGUAAAAAUGCCAGAUGUAAAGUGGUAAAAAUGCCAUAGGUAAAAAUGCCAGAUGUUAAAAAAGUAAAAUAGAGUUUUGAGCAAUAUUCAUAAGGAUAUUGAGUAUUGUAGGGGUUAACUCAAAACUCUGUUUUACUAUAUUAUAUAACAUCUGGCAUUUUUACCACUUUGCAUCUGGCAUUUUUACCUACAUUCAUCUUUGCUCAAGUGCAUUUAGUCUAGUUAGUUGGUGUAGUGUAGAUCACUUCUUAUUGUCAUUUUGUUCCCAACAGGAUUAGCCACAUAUUGACAAUCAUAGUCAUACCCCUUAAAGUUUUGGUUGAAAAAGUUGGAUAUUAGAAUGUGACAAAUAUGGUUGCUAAACUCGCGUUUCAUUGUAUAACCACGAAUUAAAACGAAAGAAUAUUAACGAAUUAGACUCAUAUUCAAAUAAAACAUUUGAAUCGAAUAAUCGUGUUUUUGCAAAUAAAGUACAAAGUCGCAU